UACGGAGGGGGCUAGCGUUGUUCGGAAUUACUGGGCGUAAAGGGCGCGUAGGCGGACAGUUAAGUCAGAGGUGAAAGCCCAGGGCUCAACCCUGGAAUUGCCUUUGAUACUGGCUGUCUUGAGUGCGGGAGAGGUGUGUGGAACUCCGAGUGUAGAGGUGAAAUUCGUUGAUAUUCGGAAGAACACCAGUGGCGAAGGCGGCUCACUGGACUGGUAUUGACGCUGAGGUGCGAAAGCGUGGGGAGCAAACAGG
rnacentral:rRNA from 1 species